rnacentral:lncRNA from 1 species
UUUAUAUGUUUACAUAUAUAUUUAUAUAUAAAAAUAUUAUAUACAUAUAUAAUGCUCUUCAAUUACUGUCAUUUCCCAAAAAUGAAGACUCAUUAAAUUAUCUUCUGCAAUGGGGCCAAUGAUUUUCUAUAAUAAUGCUUAAUUUAAUUUAUAAUUUUUAUUAUUUUAAAGUGUGCUAUUUUAAAUUACAGAUUUAUAAAAAUCAUUUGUGAUAAUUUCUGUAGAUGAAUCUUGCAUAGGACAUGGUGGCACAGUAAUUGCUGAGCUAGACAGUUGUUUCUAUCUAGGUUUAAAAUUCUUAUGACAUUUCAAGUCCAUUUUUGACUUAAAGAGAAUGAGAAAUUGCAAGGACUUCAAAUUCACAAUGUGCCUGAGGCGGAGAUCGUACUGAAUUCAGCUGGUACUAUUAUUAUUCAUGGGAGACAAAGUUAAAAAUUGAGGUUGUAUUCUUUAAAUAGUAUAUUAAGUGUGUCUUGAGAAAAAGUUCACUUAGUUGGGGGAGAAGUUUUCCUAUUUUAAGCUUUCUACUAAAGUCAUUAUAAAAUGCAGAUAAUUUAAAUUAAAAUUACAUUAUUUUGUCUUCAGGUUUGAGGGAAAACUUUGUAUCUGUUUUAUUUUUGACAUGUGAUUAUGAGUGUAGAUAGUAAAAUCCAGUCUGUAAAUUCCCAUAAUUUUAAUUUAAAGAGAAUUAUAUAUUUAUUACACACACACACACACACACACACACACACACACAGACAUUAAAGCAAAAUAACAUGGCCUGAGAAGGACUCUGUACUUCUACAUUUGAGUCCUUGUGGAUGAACUCUAACCUAGAUUAAUAGUCCAACAAAAUUGAAAACCUAACUUAAUAGUAUGCACCUGUAACGAUGGCUGAGUAUUGGCCAAUCCCAGAUGCCAUACUUCAACCACUCAUAGACUGCUGAAUAUUCAAACUGCAUUCAAAUAAGGCAAAUGACAAGCUGUAACCAAUCUCACUGUUUCUGUACCUCACUUCUGAUUCCUCUAUGUCACUUUACCUUUUUUUGUCUAUAAAUUUGUUCUGACCACGAGGCAUCCCUGGAGUCUCUGUGAAUCUGCUGUGAUUUUGGGGGCUGCCUGAUUCAUGAAUCAUUCAUUGCUCAAUUAAACUUCUUUAAAUUUAA